UCUUAGGUUUUACUGAAAACCACCAUUACAAUAUAACCGUAGUUCU
rfam:Apaloderma vittatum contig79722, whole genome shotgun sequence.